GGAAAUGGUUCUGGUGGACCACAGACGUCUCUGACACAGGAGGAGAUGAAACUUUCCCACAGUUGGGACUAGAGUGACACAAGUAUGGCAAGACAACAGUGUUAGAGCCAUAGGAAGCAUGCUGAAAGGUCAUCUAUGUUCACAAAAAACUCCUGGAGCUACUUUCUAGGGCAGCUGCAUAUCAAUUGUUCCCAUUCGAUGCUUUGAGCUGCAAAAAUUUCACUUCAUAAGGACAUUCUAUGAUGUUCCAGCAAACACAGGUCCUAGACUGGAAAUAUUCUGAACGCUCUAUCCCAAACUGUUCGUCUUGUCUAUUUCAGGACACCUCUUCCCACUUCUUCCA
rnacentral:lncRNA from 1 species